rnacentral:rRNA from 1 species
GAUGAACGCUGGCGGCGUGCUUAACACAUGCAAGUCGAACGGGAAUUAUUUUAUUGAAACUUCGGUCGAUUUAAUUUAAUUCUAGUGGCGGACGGGUGAGUAACGCGUGGGUAACCUGCCUUAUACAGGGGGAUAACAGUCAGAAAUGGCUGCUAAUACCGCAUAAGCGCACAGAGCUGCAUGGCUCAGUGUGAAAAACUCCGGUGGUAUAAGAUGGACCCGCGUUGGAUUAGCUUGUUGGCAGGGUAACGGCCUACCAAGGCGACGAUCCGUAGCCGGCCUGGGAGGGUGAACGGCCACAUUGGGACUGAGACACGGCCCAGACUCCUACGGGAGGCAGCAGUGGGGAAUAUUGCACAAUGGGGGAAACCCUGAUGCAGCGACGCCGCGUGAAGGAAGAAGUAUCUCGGUAUGUAAACUUCUAUCAGCAGGGAAGAUAGUGACGGUACCUGACUAAGAAGCCCCGGCUAACUACGUG